GGUUUCACCAUCUUGGCCACACUGGUCUUGAACUCCCGAUCCUUGUGAUCCACCUGCCUUGGCCUACCAGAGUGCUGGGAUUACAGGCACGAGCCACUGUGCCUGGCUGGUCUCUGACACGUCUAAGCUAUGAAGAAUUAGGUAUAUUUCUGGCCAUCUCUGACCCCCAUCUAUGAAAGACUCGUAGGGUGGUUGAAAUUGCACCACAUGUACAAUAUCUGGCCCAAUGUAGGAAAUGUAUAAAUGUUAGCUUCAUCCCCCAGGGAAGCCCACUGAGAUCCAUAUGAGUCCUUUGUCUGUGUCUCCCCAUAAUGUGACCUUUAGAAGUUGCCAAUGGCCCACCCAAUACCCAACCGUGAUUUUUCUGAGAUAAUCUGCCCAAGGUGUGUGAGAGGAAAGGCGAAGAAGGCAGUCAGGAGGAUUCACUCCUGGGGGAGCUGGGUAGGAUCCUAUCUCCUCCUACAUCCAGAGCAUGCAGGCUCCACUUAGAUGCAAAGGGGUCGGAUUGGGUUACUGGGGAGAAAUUGAGCCCCUUUGAUUCUGCGGUUCUGUGGGUCUAAAUCUGGCAGCUCCUUGGCUAUCCACCCCCAGGCUUUGUGAUUGGUUGGCUGUGGUUGGUGGGGGGGCAGGAAGCUUCUGGUGGAGCUGCAGCAUCCUUCAGUCUCAGGCCCCCAGGAGGGGGAGGGGAAAGAACAAGGGCUGAGCCGUGGAGGGAAAAGGAGCCAUUUCUCUCCACCGACUGCAACCUCCGUGCUCACAGCUCACGUUUCACCAGAAUCCAGGGGCCUGGUCGGCCUAGGAAUCCACAAUGCUGGAUAUUUUCAUCCUGAUGUUCUUUGCUAUCAUAGGCCUGGUCAUUCUGUCCUACAUUAUCUAUCUGCUUUAGUGGCCUGGAGCUGCGGCUGGAGCCUGCUGGAGAACAGCUCAGAGGGAAGGAUGGAGCUGAAUGGCCGAGUGCCCUGCUUGCUGACGCACCGGUGGAUUUUUGCUGCUGGCUGUUAUCUCGGCUCCUGGUCUCUCCAGUCCAACAAGAGGCCUCUUAUCCACAGCAGCAGUCCCGCUGCCCAGCAGACCUCUUUCCGAGCUUUCCAGACAUGGCUGACCCCUGGCAAGCAAGGGGCUUUUUGAGCUGAGAGGCACUUGGCUGGGACAUCAGGAAUUCAUGGACAUGGCUGGCAGAUACUGCAUGUGUUUGAGCUGUAGAUAGAGGGGAUUGAGAACAGAAAGUUGAAAUGGAGACUUAUUAAAGUUACUGUGGAGAACUGCUCAAAAAUUCAUUUUGAAUUAAGGAAACUUAAAUUCAUUUUAAGUUUCCUUAGAUCUGAAUGCAACUGCACAUUACACUCAAAUAUGUUCCUUCCUUCUCACACACAGGGCUCCCUUGUGAAACUCAAGGGGAAGUUCAAGUUGUCCAUCUUCACCUAUGAAGUAGUCACUUUAUCACUGUCUUUACAGAUUGCACAAUCUGGGGUUUUGUGGUUUCUCUUGUCUCACUCUCCAGCCAGGAAGAACUUGUCAUUUGAGUUUUUAAAAUUUAUCAUUUCUUCCCUACCUCAAA